rnacentral:rRNA from 1 species
CCCGCUCGCCGGAAGACCAAGGGUUCCUGUCCAACGUUAAUCGGGGCAGGGUGAGUCGACCCCUAAGGCGAGGCCGAAAGGCGUAGUCGAUGGGAAACAGGUUAAUAUUCCUGUACUUGGUGUUACUGCGAAGGGGGGACGGAGAAGGCUAUGUUGGCCGGGCGACGGUUGUCCCGGUUUAAGCGUGUAGGUUUGCAGACCAGGUAAAUCCGGUCUGCUUCAAGACUGAGACGUGAUGACGAGGCACUACGGUGCUGAAGUAACAAAUGCCCUGCUUCCAGGAAAAGCCUCUAAGCAUCAGGUAACACGAAAUCGUACCCCAAACCGACACAGGUGGUCAGGUAGAGAAUACCAAGGCGCUUGAGAGAACUCGGGUGAAGGAACUAGGCAAAAUGGUGCCGUAACUUCGGGAGAAGGCACGCUGAUACGUAGGUGAAGCGGUUUACCCG